AUGUUUGCUUGUUUGUUUGUUCCCAAACUUCUCUCUAAAACACAUCGCUGGGUUAUUUGCAGGCUAACGUAUGAAUGAACAUGACCAUAAUUCAUGUUUAUGCUUGUACAUUUCAGUUGUUUUGUAAUGUUUUUUUAUGUUUACGUAUAGAUUCGGGUGUUGUUUGCUGAGGGAGUUAUUGGACGUUUAAGUUACCUUUUUUUGCAACCUUAAAUAAAAACAAAGGUUUUCCUUAUCAUAACCCUUAAGCAUGUUUUUUUAUAUUUUUGUAAAAGGGUAGCAACCUUAUUUUCUUCGUGUAUUGAUAACUAUUGUCAAAACCACGGUUUUACUACAGUAUCAAUGGUUUCACUAUGUUUUUUAAAACCAUGGUUAUUCCGUGGUAACCAUGGUUUUACUACAGUAAACUUUUUUUGUUUUAACUGCAAUAAAACCAUGGCUAAUUUUCGUAAGGGACAUCAUUGGUUGUAAGUUUUUAAUGUUUACUAAUGAAUGAAUGAUUUCUCCAGUCUCUUUUAAGCUAUGUGUCUAAAACUCCAGCUGCACCAGUGGCCUCAUCGGAGGACGACCAGCUGCUUGGUUUCGGCGCUCGUGCCAAGAGUACAUGGAGGGAGAUUUGGGACAGCAGAGCUGAUGGUUACGCUUCCUUUAUAAUGGGGGCAAAAUGUGUCCGAGGGACGCGGGUGUAUAAACUGCAACAAUACCUGCUGAAGCAGCAGCAGUCUGCCCGUCCGCGUGUGCCUGCCUCAAGUGCCACAUCUGAGCCCACAGAGAUGGAUGAAGAUGCUGAGCUGGAGAGUGCAAUGCUGAACAUCACCCCCUCCAAGCUACUGGUGCAAUCGCCAGCACAAUCUUCAUCAGUGAUGAAGAUGAACUGAUAAAUCCCUGUUCUGGAACCAUCUACUGUCCUUUCAAAACCACUGACUGGCACUAUAAACGAACUGCAUCUGUCUCCUGUGGAUGCACCAGCCCUGAAAACGCCUGUGCCCCUUCCUAAAGAGCUGAUGUUUCUUGUGCAGGAACCAUCGGCUUCUACACAAACAAAGAAAAGUGUUUCAGCCACAGCAGAGAGCAGUAUCUCUCGAGCGUGCAGGACACUUUCUUUUGAGGAAUUUAACAAA